GGGGGUGCGUAGGUCCCGGUGGGCUUCACAGUCUUCAAAACUGCUGUGCGUUACGCUGAGUGGCGCAGGUGGGUUCGACUCCCAUGCACCCUCG
rnacentral:tRNA from 1 species